UGCUCUCGUUGGCAGCGUGCACGCCGCCGCAGCGCCGCCGGCUGGGAGCGAGAAUUGCUUUUUUUGACAGACGGCACGGGCAGGGACCUGCGUGUGCUGUGUGUUUCUCGCUGCCGUCUGCUUUGUUUUGUUUCUUUCGGUGCGUUUUGAUUUGGUUCGUCGUCGAUUAGGUUUUUUUGUGUCCGACUCUUCGGUGAACUCGUUUCGAAGGCUGUUCAUUUGUCUGCCGACUGAGUUUUGUCGUAGGUCCUGGCGAUCGGCGCUGUAAACAACACUCGCAGCAAGCCAACCGCCGGCCGGCGACUCGCACAGCGGACGAUAUUGUCGGACGCUGAAAGGACGAAGGUUAUUCUCUCGUCGCCAGUAUUGUGUCGAUAAGGGCCGUAGCUCGGGCUGUGAACCGUUUUGCGGUGCAAAUGUCGGCGAUCCCUCCGCAGCGGAUCCGGCUAUCGCCCAGCUCCGUGGCUGCCGCCGCCGCGUCGAGCAAGCCGGUUCGCCCUACGCUGCCGCUGGCAUUGAUGCGACAGGGCAGCCCGACACAGAGGAACGUUGCCAGGAGGGCGUCUCCCUCGCCGCCAGUGUGCUGGGCGCAUGACAGUGUCCGAAUGAAAAGCAGACAGUCGCCCGAUCAGAGGAUAUCGCCGGAGAAUAAAGCUUCGUCGGCAGCGCAGGGACCCAAAGGUGUGUGCCUGUCCGCUGCCGAGUGCAAAGCCAAGCCGCUGAGCCUGCUCGGAGGGCUCAUGCGGCGCACAGCCUCUCUAGACGCUAUCUACUUGUCAGCUCAGUGGCCGCGGGAUCUGCACAGCUACUGCGGCCGCCCAAUGGUUGACAGGGCCACACAGACUCCUGAUGAUUGGAAAGAAGUGGAGAGGAUAAAAUUUGUUCAGAAGAAAGCUGCUUUGCCACCGGGUGACUCUCUAGAAAUGAAGUACAUUCGUCAGCGGCUACAACGGACGGCUCAGGGGGGGAGGACAUCACCCCGCUGGAGCCCCGUGCAAGGGGACCACCAGCUGGGGCUAGCGGCCUUGUCCCCCCCACUGUCCCCCUCCGUGGCGCCCCCGCCUCCUUCGGGCCCCAUCCCUAUCCAGGCUAGGCCAGGGCGGACGCCACCGGGAGCUCCCCGCAUGCGCAACAGUGUGGAGGGACUGAACCAGGAAAUCGAGCGCCUGGUUUUGAAAGGCAUCUCUGGAUCAGGCACAGAAAAUGAAGCUGAACUGGAAAGGGUGAUGGGCCCUACACCAGAAGGUCACCGAGCACCCAUAGCGGAACUUUUUCACUCCACCUGCAGUGUGGACACCCAAACACCCAGUGGCAGCGAUGGCAGCAACGGUUUUGUUGACGGUCCUUCCCGCCAUAGCUCUUCUCGUCCGGACAGCCUAGAAUGUGAUAAAAGUGCCUCCCCAGACUUGGAAGUAAGUGGUCACACGAGCAAGCUGGGAACCAGCCCACAAAUCAACAAGUUCCUUACUAGGGAGCCCCCCGACGGUUGUGAGAAGGUGAAGAUCAUUGAUGAAGGAAGGAAGCCCGCGACCAGCCCUAUGAUGGGCGAUGGUACUGAAAGUGUGCUCAAGCCGAGCAGCCAGUUCGUGCUGCGUCCCAGUCAGAGCUCAGCCUUCUGCCCACUCGUGCGGAACCCCUUCCAGGGGGUGCACAGGCCGGGGCCCAUUGUCGACCCUUUCCUGCUCAACGAGAGGCUCCAGUGAAGUAGGCACCCCCCGUAUUUUCUCUGAACAGCCCCAGGAGGCAGCAAGGUGCCAUGGAAAAAAGAGAGAAGGGCAUUUCAAGGAAGAGUCCUCCUUGCAUGAGAAUGCCUCUUUCCCUCUCCCACUCGUCGUCACCCAUGUGCCAUUGCUGUGGUGGCUAGCAAAGUCUGCACUCUUGGCUGCAGCUCUUCACUUUGCCUCCCACUGUGACGCGAGCAAGAAUGCUGCUGUGCCACCAUCCUCUCUAGAUUUGCAGUUUGACUUUUUGUUCACGCUCCCUUGGGAGGAAAAGAAGCCUGCUUUAUAGCCUCGACCAUACUUCUUCAUUUUUAUGGCAAAGCAGCCAUUGUGUUGCCAGAGGGAGCACCAUUUUGUGCAUGAUGAAGGUUUCAAACAAAGGCUCACUGGCAGCUGGCACAAGGACUUUAUGAAUGCAGGCUGCAUUAUGUGUUAGUGUAAUUUGUGUUUGUGGCAAGAUGUGGGUGAAGUGCAGAUAUGCCUGAAAUAAUUUCUCUAUUCGCCUUCUUGCUGUGUUUGGCAGCUAUGUGUACAUUAUUACUAUGCGUUUGUGCAGUUUGGAACAGCAACCAGCGUUGUAAUCUGGUCUUAACAUACAGGAAGGAGUAGUGCUUAGUGAAAGAAGAGUUCUUGACUGGGAGCCUGUUUAGCCUCUUGUGUUGCUUGUGGCACCUGCAGUGCUUAUUUGUUGUAGCUGCAGUAGCUAAUGUUUGGUACUGGGCUCUAACUAUAACUCUUCCUUUUUGUUUUUUCAUCAUGUAUACCAUAUAGUUGGCUAUCACAAGUCACAAAGUGAUGAUUUCUUUAAAUCCUUGUUUCAUUAUUCUGCUGAUCAUUUCACUGCAGUUCUAAUAACAUAGUUCUGACACUAAGGCUUUAAUAAGCUUUGAUAUUACGAGACUCCUUUUGUAUUUUGUGUGUUCUUGAGACACAACACUCGGGCAGGUUUAAAUUUCAAGGCACUUGCUUUUUAUUUUUGCAUAGCUCUCAAUGGCAGCCCGCAAAUGAAUACAAAUGAUGUUGGUUUCUCCACAUAGCUUUCUCUUUGUCUUAUUUAUUUCUCAUUAUGUUGAAAUCAAGCGCAAGUCAAUGCAUUUUCUGGCUUACCAUUUGUCUAAAAUUACCAUGGAACUUACUAGCAUAACUGCCCGGUUGUGGUAGUAGCAUGAAUUCACAUAUUUGCUUAGUGUUCAUGGUGCCUCAAACUUUGAUUAAAGCAAAGCCAACCAUUUUUUGGUGCGGUUUGGACAAGUACCUCUUAUCAGGCCAGUAGUAUGCUGACUGACCUGCUAGUUUCACUGAUUGCUUGAACCCAAUGAUAUGUCACAUGCUUAAUCAUCUUCAUGAUCUCUCAGUAUGCACUGGAGCUGAAUAACUUGACCGGUAUUUAAUGUUCGAAAGGUGGUUGUCAGGCCUGGGUAGACUAAUGCAUUUAGGACACUUUCGAUGUGCUACUGUGACGGCACAAUUCCUGAAAACACUCGGGCAGAUUUAAAUGAGAGGACUGUUUUCUGCGCAGUUGGUGUUAUUUGUGAUCUUGAUCAUCUCUUGUGGUCCAAAAGAAAAGCAUUGACAAUGAAGAUACCGUUUACUAGUAGAUACACAAAAAUCACUCUGAAAUUGGUUUUAACUUCAAAGACUGUAGUACUGUAUUCUUCGACAUACAUCUUCAAAUAAAAUUUGUUAAAUGCCUUUAAGCAUUUCAGGGAGGCUACUUUAAUUCUCUCUUUUUUGGCAAAAGAUUAUAAGUUUCUUAUUUUGUUACUUAAAUGUUCAAAAAGAAAUGGAACCUCGGCCAUUUUUUAAAGCAGUUAUUUUAAACAUCAUUAAUGCAUUGCGUAGUCGUCUCGCUUGCCUGUUAGGAUCACUGGCACCAUUUUUGGUUGGAGGCAUCUGUUUAUGCUUUCUUUAAUUAUAGCAGGAAGCAAAAUUUCGAAGUUUGUGAAGCCUUGAUGGACAUACUUCUCAACAGGUUAUCUUUCACUUUUCGUUCAACCUUUAAGGUUAUGUUAGAGAGAGAGAUACGUUAAAUUAAUUUAGACUGGUAGCUUAAUGUUCUAAACACAUUUUUUUUUUUUUUUCGUUUCCUGAAUUUCGUGUCUAAACGGUGGUGCUGAUGACAUAGGUGUUGUGUCACAGAUGUUAUACUUGUGCAUUUUUGGCCCCUCAUUCGCAGGAAUAGUCUGCAAGAGUUGCUAUGUUGAGUCAUUGCAUAUUUUCAAAAUGUAAUUCUUUUCCUGGUGAUCGAUAAUCGACUAGCUCCCACUGCUAAUGACUGGGAUGUCAUGGAGAACUGAUGCGGGAAUUGCAUGGUGAUAUUACCACAGGCCUUUAGAUAUUGCAUCCUUCCUGGCGUACCAGGCCACGAGUCAUGCUAAAAAUGAUAUAUUUUAAAUCGUAGAAGUGAAUUCUGUCUAGCUAGCUUAAGUUAGUGUUUCUCUGCCUCUUGCAGCUAUUAUUAUGCGCCAUUACUCUUUGGCUGCUGCAGCAAUGUUUCGACUGUUUUGCUUUCUUUUCACAUUGCUAUUCCCAGUGCUAGUCCUCAUGCAGGGCGCAGGACUUCUUGAACAUGGUAACCAGACAAUGUUGUCAUGAAUAUCUGAACUAAAUAUCCCUGUACGCACAGCUGGGAGCUGGCUUCGCUCUGAAGUAGAAAUAAAACCAGAGGAAUCUCAUUUCUGGCGAAGUGGUGGCACUCUCUAGUGGCAAGAACAAGACCACUGCACCGAUACUCUAGCGUAUGGAAUCACGCUUCCUGAUAAAGAGUUGCACCACACUAUCUUGAGGUCAUGCCUAUAUGAAAGCGCUGUGCUAUGGUUGGUAGAGUGUUGUCGGUAUUGUUCCCUCAGAAAUAACACCACACCACAACUUUGAGCUCAGUUUGGAUGCCGAAAAGGGAGGGGAAGGUUGUGAAGGUGUGGCAGUGGCAGCAUUUGGUUGCUGAUAAUCCCAUUCAUACAAGGCACAUUCAAAAACAUUUGUUGGAAAAUACUUGUGAAGAGAUGCCCUUUAAUACAAGACACCUUGCAUGCUUUUCAUUAGAUGUACUUGUGCGCUCCUUUAAGGUGAGAGUAAUGAGGACAUAAAAGCUUUGUGCUGUGCGUACUUUCCAUGUUUCACCUCUUUUCUGCUUUUUGAA
rnacentral:misc_RNA from 1 species